UUCUAUUUAUAUGCAAAAUUCAUUCGAGACACCAUACCAAAAGCUCCCGUGGGAGCUGGCCUUCUUAUGUCGGUCGGUUCAUGGUCCGUAGGGAGUGUCGGAAGGACGGAAGACCACGAAGGAAACGUCUUUGUUUGUACGGAUCGCUUAUUUAUUAUGCAGAUUGAAUAUUGGCCACCGCUUCGUUCUUCAUCUGUGUUCGGCU
ensembl:ncRNA T21B6.8 ncRNA